UACGAAGGGGGCUAGCGUUGUUCGGAUUUACUGGGCGUAAAGCGCACGUAGGCGGAUAUUUAAGUUAGGGGUGAAAUCCCAGAGCUCAACUCUGGAACUGCCUCUAAUACUGGGUAUCUAGAGUUCGAGAGAGGUGAGUGGAAUUCCGAGUGUAGAGGUGAAAUUCGUAGAUAUUCGGAGGAACACCAGUGGCGAAGGCGGCUCACUGGCUCGAUACUGACGCUGGGGUGCGAAAGCGUGGGGAGCAAACAGG
rnacentral:rRNA from 1 species